ACUAGCCUAACUGAAAUCACAAAAUCACAGAUAGGUGCUUAUUGUGAUAACGUAAGGGAAAAAUUUGAUAUUACCUUACUAUAAGUGUUGUCUAAAUAACUGGUGCCAGAAGACUCGGUAACACCAGAAACGCGAACGUUAGUCGUCUUAAACAGGCGUAAAGGGUAAGUAGGCUGCUUUAAAUUUUUAUUUUUAUAAAAGCUAAUUAAUAAUUUGUGCUUAGUAAUAAUUUCUUGCCCCUGCAAAGCUGCUACGCAAGUUGCAGCUGCGCUAAUAACAAGCAAGUUGUAAGCUUCCUAGCGAAGCAAUAAGCUAAGUAAGGGUUGAAUCAAGCUACUAAAAAUUUUCAGAUUAAUUUAUUAAAAUUAACACUCUUAAGUUUGAAUUGCUAGCUACAACUAAAAACUUAAAUUUAUUAAUUAAAUAAAGAUAGAUAUACUUAAAGCUAGAAUCAUAAUUGAGAUAAACCAAAUAAUACUUAAGUGUAAGGGUAAAAUCUAAAAAUACUAAGUAGAAUACUAACGGUGAAAACUUUUUAUCUAGGAGUGAUUGACGCUGAGGUACGAAAGUGAGAACAGGGAAUAGGAUUAGAUACCCAGUUACCUCUCACCGUCAACGAUGAAUGGUAGUUGUUAGUAGUUAGUCUUCAAUUAACACUAGUGACGAUGUUAACGCGAUAACCAUUCCGCAUUGAGAGUACGGUUGCAAAACUGAAACCAAAAAAAUUAGUCGGUCUCGGAGCAAA
rnacentral:rRNA from 1 species